rnacentral:lncRNA from 1 species
GCCUGACCCUUCUCGCGGGAGCUGCUGGGAUGCGCAGCCGCAUAAGAGAGCGCGCGGGUCUCCAGAGCCUGAGCUAGUCAGAAGCAACAGUUGCUACUGCGUCCCCCGGACAUUGGGAGAAUCGUUUUCCUUGGGCAGCUGGUUCCAGACCCCCACCAGUCCUCUAGACUCCAGGCCAAUCAGUUGCUAAGGGACGUUCCUCUCUCAACCUGCACUUAUCAACAUUUUAAGCUAUAAAUUCGUCUGCAUUUCUUCAUCGUCUGUCUAUGUAGACCAUGACUCCACGGAGGCAGGGGUCUGGAGUGCAGUGGCAUGAACAUGGCUCACUGCAGCCUCGACUUUCCAGGCUCAAGUGAUCCUCCCACCUCAGCCUCCAGAGUAGCUGGGACUAUAAGCACAAGCCACCAGGUCCAGCUAAUGAAAAAAUUUUUUUUGUAGAGACAGAGUCUCACUAUGUUACCCAGGCUGGUCUCGAACUCCUGGGCUCAAGCAGUCUUCUCACCUCAGCCUCCCAAAGUGCUGGGAUUGCAGCCGUGAACCAACACACUCAGCCUGGGACCACUCUUGACCACCCCUAAUCCCUUCCCAGAGUUCUGGAACCAGCCCUGUCCUUUCCUAUUCCAUAUUUCGGCAUGUUUUAACAGACCUCUCUGAGUGGUCUGUGCUCCCAACCCUUAGCCUCCAGACUGAUUGCCCUUUUUCCUUCUCACAUAAAAAAGAUAUCGCCCAAGUUUCCAGGUCGUUAAAUGCCUCUCUCAUUCACGCCACAUAUCCACUUUCUUUUUGCAUUGUCAAUUUUUUUUUCCUUCCCCUUUCUUCUGUUUAAAAGCCCAUGUUAGAUGGUCGGAAUGAGCCUUGUCUAGGUCCUGGGCCAGGAUUUGCCAGUAAAGCACUGAAUAACUGUGGUCAAGUAUUUUCCCUCUUCUUAUUUCCUCAUGUGUAACAUGAGUGGGUUUUACUGCUGGAGAUGUAAUGAUCCAUUUAAGUACAAAAUUCUGAUUUCUUCUUUCUUCUCUCCAUCAGUUUUAGAGCAUACAUGUGAUGACUCGUCAUGCACCCAUUAUAUUUUCUUUUUCUUUUCUUUUCUUUUUUUUUUUUUGAGACAGA